rnacentral:rRNA from 9 species
UUGACCUCAAAUCAGGUAGGACUACCCGCUG